rnacentral:sRNA from 1 species
UUUUGAAAAAGAUAUAGCCCCGCGAUAUACCGCGGGUUAAAAUCUAGUUAAAUAUAUAUAAUUAA